rnacentral:rRNA from 1 species
UUAGGCAUGAGGCGUAGGCAAAUCCGCGCUUCUUUAUGCCGAGCACCGAGACGAGUCCUUUUAGGACGAAGUCACUGAUCCCACGCUUCCAGGAAAAGCCUCUAAGCUUCAGCUGCGAUAGAACCGUACCGCAAUCCGACACAGGUAGGCAGGGUGAGAAUCCCAAGGCGCUUGAGAGAACUCGGGUGAAGGAACUAGGCAACAUAGCACCGUAACUUCGGGAGAAGGUGCGCCUGAGAGUGUGGCUACAUGCGUAGCUGAGCAUUCCCAGGCCGCAGUGACCAGGCCGCUGCGACUGUUUAUCAAAAACACAGCACUCUGCAAACACGAAAGUGGACGUAUAGGGUGUGACACCUGCCCGGUGCCGGAAGGUUAAUUGAUGGGGUCAGCCGCAAGGCGAAGCUCUUGAUCGAAGCCCCGGUAAACGGCGGCCGUAACGAUAACGGUCUAAGGUAGCGAAAUUCCUUGUCGGGUAAGUUCCGACCUGCACGAAUGGUGUAACGACAGCGGCGCUGUCUCCACCCGAGACUCAGUGAAAUUGAAAUCGCUGUGAAGAUGCAGCGUUCCCGCGGCAAGACGGAAAGACCCCGUGAACCUUUACUAUAGCUUUACAUUGAACGUUGAGUUCGUCUGUGUAGGAUAGGUGGGAGGCAUUGAAGUGUGGUCGCCAGAUCGCAUGGAGCCAACCUUGAAAUACCACCCUGAUGUGCUUGACGUUCUAACCUGGGUCCGUAAUCCGGAUCGGGGACCAUGUAUGGUGGGUAGUUUGACUGGGGCGGUCUCCUCCCAAAGAGUAACGGAGGAGCUCGAAGGUACGCUCAGCGCGGUCGGACAUCGCGCACUGUGUGCAAAGGCAUAAGCGUGCUUGACUGCGAGAUCGACGGAUCAAGCAGGUACGAAAGUAGGACUUAGUGAUCCGGUGGUUCUGUAUGGAAGGGCCAUCGCUCAACGGAUAAAAGGUACUCCGGGGAUAACAGGCUGAUUCCGCCCAAGAGUUCAUAUCGACGGCGGAGUUUGGCACCUCGAUGUCGGCUCAUCACAUCCUGGGGCUGUAGCCGGUCCCAAGGGUAUGGCUGUUCGCCAUUUAAAGUGGUACGCGAGCUGGGUUCAGGACGUCGUGAGACAGUUCGGUCCCUAUCUGUCGUGGGCGUUGGAGGUUUGAGAGGGGCUGCUCCUAGUACGAGAGGACCGGAGUGGACGAAUCCCUGGUGUUCCGGUUGUCACGCCAGUGGCACUGCCGGGUAGCUACAUUCGGAAGCGAUAACCGCUGAAAGCAUCUAAGUGGGAAGCGCGCCUCAAGAUGAGACCUCCCGAGCCAUAAGGCUCCUAAAGGAACCAUGAAGACUACGUGGUUGAUAGGGUGGGUGUGUAUCGCAGUAAUGCCGAGCUAACCACUACUAAUGAUCCGUGCGGCUUGACC